rnacentral:rRNA from 1 species
AGAGUUUGAUCCUGGCUCAGGAUGAACGCUGGCGGCGUGCUUAACACAUGCAAGUCGAACGCACCUUCGGGUGAGUGGCGGACGGGUGAGUAACGCGUGAGAAUCUGCCCUCAGGAGGGGGAUAACGGCUGGAAACGGCCGCUAAUACCCCAUAUGCCGCGAGGUGAAACGAGUUUUCGCCUGAGGAUGAGCUCGCGUCUGAUUAGCUAGUUGGUGGGGUAAGAGCCUACCAAGGCAUCGAUCAGUAGCUGGUCUGAGAGGAUGAUCAGCCACACUGGGACUGAGACACGGCCCAGACUCCUACGGGAGGCAGCAGUGAGGAAUUUUCCGCAAUGGGCGAAAGCCUGACGGAGCAACGCCGCGUGAGGGAUGAAGGCCUCUGGGCUGUAAACCUCUUUUCUCAAGGAAGAAGAUCUGACGGUACUUGAGGAAUAAGCCACGGCUAAUUCCGUGCCAGUAGCCGCGGUAAUACGGGAGUGGCAAGCGUUAUCCGGAAUUAUUGGGCGUAAAGCGUCCGCAGGCGGUCUUGAAAGUCUGUUGUUAAAGCGUGGAGCUUAACUCCAUUUCAGCAAUGGAAACUAGAAGACUAGAGUGUGGUAGGGGCAGAGGGAAUUCCCGGUGUAGCGGUGAAAUGCGUAGAUAUCGGGAAGAACACCAGUGGCGAAGGCGCUCUGCUGGGCCAUAACUGACGCUCAUGGACGAAAGCCAGGGGAGCGAAAGGGAUUAGAUACCCCUGUAGUCCUGGCCGUAAACGAUGAACACUAGGUGUCGGGGGAAUCGACCCCCUCGGUGUCGUAGCCAACGCGUUAAGUGUUCCGCCUGGGGAGUACGCACGCAAGUGUGAAACUCAAAGGAAUAGACGGGGGCCCGCACAAGCGGUGGAGUAUGUGGUUUAAUUCGAUGCAACGCGAAGAACCUUACCAGGGUUUGACAUCCUGCGAAUCCCUUGGAAACGAGGGAGUGCCUUCGGGAGCGCAGAGACAGGUGGUGCAUGGCUGUCGUCAGCUCGUGUCGUGAGAUGUUGGGUUAAGUCCCGCAACGAGCGCAACCCACGUCUUUAGUUGCCAGCAUUCAGUUGGGCACUCUAGAGAGACCGCCGGUGAUAAACCGGAGGAAGGUGUGGAUGACGUCAAGUCAUCAUGCCCCUUACAUCCUGGGCUACACACGUACUACAAUGCUACGGACAAAGGGCAGCAAACUCGCGAGAGCUAGCAAAAUCCCAUAAACCGUGGCUCAGUUCAGAUCGUAGGCUGCAACUCGCCUACGUGGAGGAGGAAUCGCUAGUAAUCGCAGGUCAGCAUACUGCGGUGAAUACGUUCCCGGGCCUUGUACACACCGCCCGUCACACCAUGGAAGUUGGCCACGCCCGAAGUCGUUACUCCAACC